AUGUUCCCCAAAUCCCACCGGUGUUCCCAAAAUCCCACUGUUCCCAAAAUCCCACCACUAUCCCCAAAAUCCCACCACUGUUUCCAAAGUCGCACUAUUCCCAAAAUCCCACUGUUCCCCAAAUCCCACCAGUGUUCCCAAAAUCCCACUGUUCCCCAAAAUCCCACUGUUCCCCAAAAUCCCACUGUCCCCACAAUCCCACUCUUCCCAAAAUCCCACCAGUGUUCCCAAAAUCCCACUGUAAGAGGGUGGGAAUAUCCCAGUGUUCCCAAAAUCCCACUGUCCCCAAAAGCCCACUGUGCCAUGGUGGGAAUAUCCCAGUGUUCCCAAAAUCCCACCGGUGUUCCCAAAAUCCCACUGUCCCCACAAUCCCACUGUUCCCAAAAUCCCAGCACUAUCCCCAAAAUCCCACUGUUUCCAAAAAUCCCACUGUUCCCAAAAUCCCACCAGUGUUCCCCAAAUCGCACCGGUGUUCCCAAAAUCCCACUGUACCAGGGUGGGAAUAUCCCAGUGUUCCCAAAAUCCCAUCAGUGUUCCCAAAAUCCCAUCGGUGUUCCCAAAAUCCCACUGUCCCCACAAUCCCACUGUUCCCAAAAUCCCACUGUUCCUAAAAUCCCACUGUUCCCAAAAUCCCACUGUGCCACGGUGGGAAUAUCCCGGUGUUCCCAAAAUCCCACCAGUGCUCCCAAAAUCCCACUGUUCCCCAAAUCCCACCACUAUCCCCAAAAUCCCACCACUGUUUCCAAAGUCGCACUAUUCCCAAAAUCCCACUGUUCCCCAAAUCCCACCGGUGCUCCCAAAAUCCCACUGUUUCCAAAAUCCCACUAUUCCCAAAAUCCCACCAGUGUUCCCCAAAUCCCACUGUCCCCAAAAUCCCACUGUUUCCAAAAUCCCACUGUGCCAGGGUGGGAAUAUCCUGGUGUUCCCAAAAUCCCACCGGUGUUCCCAAAAUCCGGUGUUCCCAAAAUCCCACUGUACCAGGGUGGGAAUAUCCCAGUGUUCCCAAAAUCCCACUGUGCCACGGUGGGAAUAUCCUGGUGUUCCCAAAAUCCCACCAGUGUUCCUACAAUCCCACUAUCCCCAAAAUCCCACCACUGUUCCCAAAAUCCCACCGGUGUCCCCAAAAUCCCACCGGUGCUCCCAAAAUCCCACUGUUUCCAAAGUCGCACUAUUCCCAAAAUCCCACUAUUCCCAAAAUCCCACCACUAUCCCCAAAACCCCACCGCUAUUCCCACAACCCCGCUCUCCCCGCGCUGGCAAUCCCCCGAUCCAACCUGA
rnacentral:lncRNA from 1 species